UUGAAAUAAACCUGAUGGGUUGUUGCUGGUUCUCUAGGGAGCAUGUGCACACCUUGUCAUCUUUAUAUCUCCACCUGUGCACCUUUUGUAGACCUUUCAGGUCUAUGUUGCUUCAUUUACCCCAAUGUAUGUUUAUAGAAUGUAAUAAACAGGCCUCCUGUGCCUAUAAACUUAUA
rnacentral:misc_RNA from 1 species